rnacentral:misc_RNA from 1 species
GAGGAUUGUGGUUUCCGCAAGAACCUUGUAAGCACCUUGUGGUGUGAAUCUCCUCCCUGGAUACGGACCUCACUCAAACUCCCGAGUCGCACCUCAAACUUGUCAUCAAGAAAGAUACUGCUUGCUUGAAUAUCCCUAUGAACAAGGGGAGGGUUACAUUCAUGAUGCAGAUAUGAAAGACCUUCAGCAGCUCCUAUAGCAAUUUUUAAUCUUGUAAUCCAAUCUAGGGACUGUACACUGUCAUCCUCAGAAU